CAUAACCUUUAGCUAAACCAGUAUUAAAGGCAACGCCUGCCCAGUGAAUAAUUAAACGGCCGCGGUACCCUAACCGUGCAAAGGUAGCGUAAUCAUUUGUCUAUUAAUUGUAGACCCGUAUGAAAGGCAUAAUGAGGGUUUAACUGUCUCUUUUAGUAAAUCAAUUAAACUGAUCUCCUAGUCCAAAAGCUAGGAUACCAACAUAAGACCAGAAGACCCUGUGAAACUUUAACUAAAAUAUUAAAGCCUAUAAUAACUACUUUAGGUUGGGGCGACCUUGGAAAAUAAAAGAACUUCCACACACAUAUUAUAUAAUAAUAUAUAACCGGCCAACAAGCCUACAACGACCCAGCACAGCUGACAAUUGAACCAAGCUACUCCAGGGAUAACAGCGCUAUCUUCUUCAAGAGCCCAUAUCAAAAAGAAGGUUUACGACCUCGAUGUUGGAUCAGGACAUCCUGAUGGUGCAACCGCUAUUAAGGGUUCGUUUGUUCAACGAUUAAUAGUCCUACGUGAUCUG
rnacentral:rRNA from 1 species